rnacentral:rRNA from 1 species
UACGAAGGGGGCUAGCGUUGCUCGGAAUCACUGGGCGUAAAGCGCACGUAGGCGGAUUGUUAAGUCAGGGGUGAAAUCCUGGAGCUCAACUCCAGAACUGCCCUUGAUACUGGCGAUCUCGAGUCCGGGAGAGGUGAGUGGAACUGCGAGUGUAGAGGUGAAAUUCGUAGAUAUUCGCAAGAACACCAGUGGCGAAGGCGGACUCACUGGCCCGGUA